UGAGUUCAACACUGCAGGACUCAGAUCUGUCAGUCAACACAGCAGAAACUACAACCACCAUGACUCUCAUCACCAUCCUCAUCUUUAUGCUGGCCUGCUGCUGCCUCAAAGGAUCUAGUAGUGAACUGACUGUCACUCAACCAGCAGUAGUAACAUCUUCUCCUGAAUUUACAGUCACUCUGACUUGUAAAACCAACCCAAAAGUUAAGACAUGGUCAGAUGGAACUAGUAGAAUGCACUGGUUUCAGCAGAAAUCUGGAGAAGCUCCCAAGUUGGUCAUCAAAGUGGGUAAAAAUACUACUAGUGAGUUUUCUUCCAGAUUCUCUGGCAAAGGAGACGGAGUGAACGCUGUGAUGACCAUCAGUGAAGUUCAGGCUGAAGAUGCAGCAGUUUAUUACUGUCAAAGAUACGAUUACAUAAACAACGCUUGGGUGUUCACACAGUGA